GACGAACGCUGGCGGCGUGCUUAACACAUGCAAGUCGAACGGAAAGGCCCUGCUUGCCGGGUACUCGAGUGGCGAACGGGUGAGUAACACGUGGGUGAUCUGCCCUGCACUUCGGGAUAAGCCUGGGAAACUGGGUCUAAUACCGGAUAUGACCUUCCAUGUAGUGUGGGGGGUGGAAAGAUUUAUCGGUGUGGGAUGAGCCCGCGGCCUAUCAGCUUGUUGGUGGGGUAAUGGCCUACCAAGGCGUCGACGGGUAGCCGGCCUGAGAGGGUGGACGGCCACAUUGGGACUGAGAUACGGCCCAGACUCCUACGUGAGGCAGCAGUGGGGAAUAUUGCACAAUGGGCGGAAGCCUGAUGCAGCGACGCCGCGUGGGGGAUGACGGCCUUCGGGUUGUAAACCUCUUUCGACAGGGACGAAGCUUCCGUGACGGUACCUGGAUAAGAAGCACCGGCUAACUACGUG
rnacentral:rRNA from 1 species